rnacentral:lncRNA from 1 species
ACAGCUAGGAUCCUCUUCCGAAAUAGAAGUACCUGCAAAAACAACUCACGUCUUGAAACACUCAGUGCCCUUGCCAACAGAAUUCAGCUCUGAAGCAAAGACCAAAUCAGAAUCCACUUCAGGUGCAACACAGUUUAUGCCUGACCCCAAGCUCAUGGAUCACGGGCAGUCCCACCCAGAAGAUAUAGAUAUGUACAGCACUAGAAGCUGAAGUAGACUGCAUGCAGAGACUACACAGAAAACUACAAGAUGUGUGACGUUGCAAAUAAUGAUGAAAAUAAAUCAUGUAAUGGGUAACUGAUACAUAGAGUAUUACCUAAACCAAGUUUCUCCCUUACAUUUCCAAAUGUGCCAUUUGAUAAAUUACAUAAGUGGUUAACACACAAACUGUGAAUGCAGUGUAAACAAUAUUAAAUGAUUGAUGAGGAGACUUAGGUAGAAGUAUUAGCUUGCAUUUGAUGACCUUUAAGGGCACUUAAAAAAAAAUGAAGACAUGAAUUCUA